GAUGAACGCUAGCGGCAGGCUUAACACAUGCAAGUCGAGGGGUAGAGGUUGCUUGCAACCUUGAGACCGGCGCACGGGUGCGUAACGCGUAUGCAACCUACCUUUUACAGAGGGAUAGCCCAGAGAAAUUUGGAUUAAUACCUCAUAGUAUAUAACCUUCGCAUGUUGGUUAUAUUAAAGUUCCAACGGUAAAAGAUGGGCAUGCGUCCUAUUAGCUAGAUGGUAAGGUAACGGCUUACCAUGGCAACGAUAGGUAGGGGUCCUGAGAGGGAGAUCCCCCAAACUGGUACUGGGAUACGGACCAGACACCUACGGGAGGCAGGAGUGAGGAAUAUUGGAAAAUGGGCGCAGGCCUGAUCCAGCCAUGCCGCGUGCAGGAAGAAGCAUCUAUGGUGUGUAAACUGCUUUUGUACAGGAAGAAACACCCCGACGUGUCGGGACUUGACGGUACUGUAAGAAUAAGGAUCGGCUAACUCCGUGCCAGCCGCCGCGGUAAUAC
rnacentral:rRNA from 1 species